CAUGAAUGAAGAAAGAAAUAGCCCAUUCGUAUGAGAACAGAAACAAUCAGGGACUUAAGCUCAUUUUGCAUACCGUAUGGCUUACCUCUUUUUCAUCACUUUCAAGAUCAGCUGUGGUUUCCUUGUUUUUAUAGAACUUUAUGGAACCACUGCCUUAGAUAAAAUAUGUCUGCAAACACAGGCACAAACAAAAAACAAUCUGUACAGACAGAAAUUACAAGCCGCUGUAAUGAGGUGUUUCAAAAGUUUGCCAAAAUAUUUUUCUCACAUGAUCUAAAUUUGAUCUGUUUGUGAUAUUGACUGUUUUAGCGUGAGGUAAAAAGGAUCCACAGGAGUCUGGAGGACAGGCACAAGUACAGGGGAAAUGAGAGGUACAUGUCUGAGCACCUCUUUGAUCAGAAGAGCAACAGGUACUUUGAGAAAAUUAGGAGGGAAUCAAAGUUGACAGAAGACAACAAAGUGGAGGAGGAUCGGAGAGACAAAGCUCUCAACAACCGAAGGCACAGAGUGAGUUGAAUUACUUAUGGAUUUUUUAUUUGUUUAUUUAUUUUUAAGAUCCUCUAUAAUGCUGGGCUUCCAUCAGAAGACUCUAAAAAAUUUGGAGAAGA